AUUGAACGCCGGCGGCAUGCUUUACACAUGCAAGUCGAACGGUAACAGGCCGCAAGGUGCUGACGAGUGGCGAACGGGUGAGUAAUGCAUUGGAACGUGCCCAGUCGUGGGGGAUAACGCAGCGAAAGCUGCGCUAAUACCGCAUACGAUCUCUGGAUGAAAGCGGGGGACCGAAAGGCCUCGCGCGAUUGGAGCGGCCGAUGUCAGAUUAGGUAGUUGGUGGGGUAAAGGCCCACCAAGCCAACGAUCUGUAGCUGGUCUGAGAGGACGAGCAGCCACACUGGGACUGAGACACGGCCCAGACUCCUACGGGAGGCAGCAGUGGGGAAUUUUGGACAAUGGGCGCAAGCCUGAUCCAGCAAUGCCGCGUGCAGGAAGAAGGCCUUCGGGUUGUAAACUGCUUUUGUACGGAACGAAACGGUCCGGGUUAAUACCCUGGGCUAAUGACGGUACCGUAAGAAUAAGCACCGGCUAACUACGUGCCAGCAGCCGCGGUAACAC
rnacentral:rRNA from 1 species